rnacentral:tRNA from 1 species
GGCCUAUUAGCUCAGUUGGUUAGAGCGUUGUGCCAAUAACGCCAAGGUCGCAGGUUCGAAACCUACUUGGCCA